rnacentral:rRNA from 1 species
GAUGAACGCUGGCGGCGUGCUUAACACAUGCAAGUCGAACGGAAAGGCUCCUGCUUGCAGGGGUACUCGAGUGGCGAACGGGUGAGUAACACGUGGGUGAUCUGCCCUGCACUUCGGGAUAAGCCUGGGAAACUGGGUCUAAUACCGGAUAGGACGAUGGUUUGGAUGCCAUUGUGGAAAGUUUUUUCGGUGUGGGAUGAGCUCGCGGCCUAUCAGCUUGUUGGUGGGGUAAUGGCCUACCAAGGCGUCGACGGGUAGCCGGCCUGAGAGGGUGUACGGCCACAUUGGGACUGAGAUACGGCCCAGCCUCCUACGGGAGGCAGCAGUGGGGAAUAUUGCACAAUGGGCGCAAGCCUGAUGCAGCGACGCCGCGUGGGGGAUGACGGCCUUCGGGUUGUAAACUCCUUUCGCUAGGGACGAAGCGCAAGUGACGGUACCUGGAGAAGAAGCACCGGCUAACUACGUG